CAUCCUAGGUUCGAUUGAAAGGAACAAUCGAGGAGAACAGUCAUGUAAAGCAAGUUGUUCGGGAAGUAUUAGAAAAGCCAGAGUUGAGACUGGAUCCUCAUGUUGGUUAUGCGAGUCUUUUUCCAUUCAUGAGGAGGAUCAUUCCAUCUGUGAGUUGCAUCGAACAUCUAUCUUGGAAAUAUCCCCUCCAUCUGUACAAUGGACGUGUCAUGUUGGUUGGGCACUUUUUCUUUCUAUCUUUGUACAAUGGACGUGUCAUAAUGUCACUUAUCAGUUUUCAAUGAGCUUAUUCUUGAUUCCGAUUUAUAACUUCAUAAUGUAGAACUGAUGGAUUCUAGAAAAACAGUUUGACCUCAUCUCAAACAGGAGUGUACGUUGUGGACUAACUGGGUUCUCUUGCCAAAACCAGUUCCCUGCACAUGAAACGCAACACAGAGCAUGACCCACCCUAUUGGAGAGGUCCAAUUUGGAUGAACGUGAACUACAUGAUUCUUUCUGCACUCUACCACUACUCCAAAGGUAUCAGGUGCCUGUCUCAUUCAACUCUUGCAGAAGAUAGACCAUACAGAGAUAGGGCCAAGAUAAUCUAUGAGGACUUAAGGAGCAAUUUGAUUAAGUAAAGGUUUACAGUUUACCUUUUUUGUAUUGAUAUAGUUGCACGUACGCUCAAACUGGAUUAAAUUGUCGUCUGAUUAAAUUGUUUUUGCCGUUUUGCUACGGAGAUGUGGUUCAGAACUAUCACAAAACUGGGUUUUUGUGGGAGCAAUAUGAUCAGACUAGGGGUAAAGGAAAAGGCGCACGCUUGUUUACUGGUUGGACAUCACUUGUGCUGCUUAUAAUGGCAGAAACCUAUAGCUGAGCUAACAUAGUUUACAAAUAUCUUAUCUGAUGUAAUAUUGAUUUUUCAUCAGCAACAGCGAAAAAUAUCUUGGGUUUUACACAGAAUUAGGAAUCAGUUUCUAUAAAUUAUGCCUUUUUGGUUGAUUAAUUUUGUAUUAGUUUUUUGUGCUCUUUCUAAGCGUAAUAUCUUGGAUGGAAGGAUAAAGCAAAAGAAAGUAUAUUACAAAUUACACAGAAACAUCACAAUACUCCUUUAUGCGCUAUUCUCAACAUGCAGUAUUUUCUCAGCAUAAAAAUUAGGCAGACAGAAAAUGGUCAACUGGGGUCUGGGAUCAGGGGAAAAUGUAAACUCGAACAGCUAUUUGACUAUGGCAAGAAUGCUUGUGCUCUAUCAAACAAUAUUUAGCAACAAUCAGUUCUCAUUAUCUUCUCCUAUUGUAUGGCAAGAA